AUGCGUGAGUUUGAGUUUAGACUUCGUAGCCUUUCUCGACGAAUAAUGUGCAUUGCCAGUCUUAUCACGUAGAGUGCGAAGUGCUUCUGUGAGCCCAAACUAGUUCGCUACUUGGAAGAGGCACUAAAAAGGAUUAUGUAUGCUCAUUGCAGCUCUAGCAAUGAUUCUUCUUUCAAAUUCAAGAAGCAAAUGAUCACCGAAGAAUGCACUAUUGAUUAAGUUUACAGAAUUGUAUGAGAAAUUAAAUAUUGAAAUGAAGAACUGUAACAAACUUUCGAAAUGUAAUGUGUAUGUUGGAAAGUUUCCCCGUUGAAAAGUGACGAAAAAAGCUUCUGUUAAGAAACAAUCUUUUAUGAUGCAAAUGUUGAAAAGGUAAUCUUCAUGUUUAGCCUGGAUGACUGGAAGUUGAUGCUACAUUUAACAAGCUGUAAAAUCAAAUUCAUAAUUUUCCUCACUGACUGUGUAAACAAACGCCCAGCAGAAGCAAUUUCGAGAUUACUUUGCAUUUGGAGUUAUGAGAAAAAGACAUUAUAUAAAAUAUAUAUCUACGUGCCACUGCUAGCAAGAGAAAUAAAUUUUGGGUGUUUCAUAUCAAGUAAAUGUGAUAAAUUAUACCGCUCUUAAAUUA